CUCGUUGGGCCUCUACGAAGCAUUAGGUAACCAAGAUAAAUCUAGCAUGUAUACUGCACUACAAAACCAGAAAGAACAGACACAACUUAGCAAACCACAAGUAGCGACAAAUACACAAAAUGCAUCAAAUAAUCCUAAGAAAAAUAUUGAACCAUAUACCAAUCAAGG